UACGGAGGGUGCAAGCGUUAUCCGGAUUCACUGGGUUUAAAGGGUGCGUAGGUGGGUUGGUAAGUCCGUGGUGAAAUCCCCCAAGCUUAACUUGGGAACUGCCGUGGAUACUAUCAAUCUUGAAUAUCGUGAAGGUAAGCGGAAUAUGUCAUGUAGCGGUGAAAAUGCUUAGAUAUGACAUAGAACACCGAUAGCGAAGGCAGCUUGCUACACGAUCAUUGACACUGAGGCACGAAAGCGUGGGGAGCAAACAGG
rnacentral:rRNA from 1 species